rnacentral:lncRNA from 1 species
CUCCGACAGUGGGAUUAUAGAGGAUGUUUACCGGGCUUCCUCUUAUGACACACAUAAUAAUUUGAUGGAGGGGAACUGAUCUGGAGAACUUCUGACGAUAGUUCCAGCUCUCUCAACCACUCACUAGUCAUAAUGGCCGUCAGCUCCCUAACGUUUUCCCUAAGGAAGGUGGCUUCUAUAGGAUCGUUAGAAGGGACGGGUACCGAUGUUUUCCUCUUGCAAAGAUAAUUAGAGGCAUUUCAAAAAUCUUCAAAAUGAUCAUCCUCGAAUUCAAAAGGGAGCUUUGAGGGUUGAAUUUCUUCUUCCUUCAAAACUCAUGGUUCAGGAGAGGGCUCUAGGGCUGAAUCUAAGGGUGUGGACGGUAAGGGAUUGAAUUCAGCCGCUAGAAUGUCCUCAUGGCUUGAUGUACGCUCUUCUCGAGAAGGUCUAGACUCGGUUACAAUGGUGUUUUUGGUGAUACGAUCUAAGAUUUUCCUACCUUCGGCUGGAGGCUUGUGGGCGAAUGACCCUCCCGCAGUAAUGUCAAG